CCUACGGGGGGCUGCAGUGGGGAAUAUUGGACAAUGGGGGGAACCCUGAUCCAGCCAUGCCGCGUGUGUGAAGAAGGCCCUCGGGUUGUAAAGCACUUUCAGUGAGGAAGAACGCCUGGUGGUUAAUACCCAUCAGGAAAGACAUCACUCACAGAAGAAGCACCGGCUAACUCCGUGCCAGCAGCCGCGGUAAUACGGAGGGUGCGAGUGUUAAUCGGAAUUACUGGGCGUAAAGCGCGCGUAGGUGGCUUGAUAAGCCGGUUGUGAAAGCCCCGGGCUCAACCUGGGAACGGCAUCCGGAACUGUCAAGCUAGAGUGCAGGAGAGGAAGGUAGAAUUCCCGGUGUAGCGGUGAAAUGCGUAGAGAUCGGGAGGAAUACCAGUGGCGAAGGCGGCCUUCUGGACUGACACUGACACUGAGGUGCGAAAGCGUGGGUAGCAAACAGGAUUAGAUACCCCUGUAGUC
rnacentral:rRNA from 1 species